rnacentral:lncRNA from 1 species
UGGCGGUGAGGCUGCUGUCCUGGGGGGCUUUUCGGAUGAGGUGUGGGCUGCCCUUCUGGGGGUCCAGAGAGCCACUCUUGGCCCUCCGGCUGCCGCUGUGCAGGCUGGUGCCUCUCUUGAUGGAGGGACGGGAGCGGAUCUGCUGCAGCACCCGGUUGAAGGCGGUGGGACGUGCUGGGAGGUCGUGCAGGGAGACGGCGUAGGAGACGCGGUGCAUCUCCGGGGAGCGCUCCUUCUCGUCGGGGGAUUCGUGGUCAGACAGCCCGUAGUGAGGUGGCAGUGAGUCCUGUGAGUUCUGGUGCUCGCGCUCCCUCGACCGCCGGCGGCUGUGGAAUAGGUGCUUCAAGCCGUGGCCGAACAUGGAGCCCUCAGACAGCUGCUGGAUUUUCUUCAGGUCGGGGGGUUUGGAGCGCGGCGGGGGACCACCACCACCACCCGCCUCCGGGACCACCGCCGCCUCCCCGGCCUUGGCUUCCAU